AACAAACGCUGGCGGCGUGUCUUAAGCAUGCAAGUUGAGCGGCAAGGAGGAGAGAUCCUCCCUAGAGCGGCGGACUGGUGAGUAACGCGUGGGUAAUCUAUCGUAGGCAUGGGGAUAGUCACUAGAAAUAGUGGGUAAUACCGAAUACGUUCCAUGAGGGGAGUAUUCAUGGAAGAAAGGGUGCUACGGCACUGGCCUUAGGUGAGCUCGCGUCCCAUUAGCUAGUUGGUGAGGUAAAGGCCCACCAAGGCGAUGAUGGGUAGCCGGCCUGAGAGGGUGUACGGCCACACUGGGACUGAGAUACGGCCCAGACUCCUACGGGAGGCAGCAGCUAAGAAUAUUCCGCAAUGGACGAAAGUCUGACGGAGCGACGCCGCGUGGAUGAAGAAGGCCGAAAGGUUGUAAAGUCCUUUUGUCGGGGAAGAAUAAGCGUGGGAGGGAAUGCCCGCGUGAUGACAUGAACCGGCGAAUAAGCCCCGGCUAACUACGUGCCAGCAGCCGC
rnacentral:rRNA from 1 species